UACGAAGGGGCUAGCGUUGUUCGGAAUUACUGGGCGUAAAGCGUAUGCAGGCGGACUUUUAAGUCGGGGGUGAAAUCCCGAGGCUCAACCUCGGAACUGCCUUCGAUACUGGAAGUCUUGAGUCCGGGAGAGGUGAGUGGAACUCCGAGUGUAGAGGUGAAAUUCGUAGAUAUUCGCAAGAACACCAGUGGCGAAGGCGGCUCACUGGCCCGAUACUGACGCUGAGGUGCGAAAGCGUGGGGAGCAAACAGG
rnacentral:rRNA from 1 species